rnacentral:lncRNA from 1 species
GGCUGGGAGUGGCUAGGCAGGUUCCUAGAGCACCCUGUCCUCCACUCUGUGUUCCGUUGGUGACCGAGUCCUUUCUGUUCCCCAGACCUGCAGCUGGACUGGACCUUGGAAGACCCACCCAAAGUGGUUUCCUCACGUGCCUCUUCUGCAGACCCCAGGCAUCCAGGGCCCCAACAAAGACCUGCCUCCAGGCCUGGCACAACUGGGACUUCGAGCGGAAGAAACUGGAACCACUCUGAAGAGACAUCUAGAAAUACCUUGAACUAUAAUCUUGGACCAUCCUCAAGGCUUCAUGCCUCAAAUCAGGUGCCUAGACAUCGAGAGAAAGUAGAGAAUGUCUGGACAGAAGACUCCUGGAACCAGUUUCUGCACGAACUAGAAACUGGGCAUAAGCCCAAGAAAUCACUGGUGGAUGACCCUGUUGAGAAACCUGCACAGCCCAUUGAGGUCCUGCUAGAGAGAGAACUGGCCAAGCUGAGCGCAGAGCUGGACAAGGACCUGCGGGCCAUUGAGACCCGCCUGCCAUCCCCCAAGAACUCUCAGGCUCCACGACGGCCCCUUGAGCAGCCCGGCCCGGAGCAGCAGCCCUCCGCCCGACUGUCCUCAGCCUGGAGGCCCAACUCACCGCAUGCACCUUACUUCGGUUCCUCCCGACCCCUGAGCCCCCACAGAAUGGCAGAUGGAGGAGGAAGCCCCUUUCUGGGACGUAGAGAUUUUGUCUACCCUUCCUCAGCCCGAGACAUGACCUCCCCAAGCUGAGGUGGUGCUUCUCCACAGAGCCUAGUGCCUCUGAAAGGGGUAGCAGCCCUGCGAGGAAGGAGGAGAAGAAG